GGUGUCUUGGUGUAGCGGUCUAACACACUCCCUCCGUUGGUAAGUGGUUGGGAGAGAUCGGAGGUUCGAAUCCUCCAUGCGCCU